UAAAAGGGUCGGUUGGUUAAAUAUACCACGCACGGCUUCGCUGUGUGCUGUAUGGACUAUCAAGACAUAUGGCCGACACAAUUUCUUUCUCUCCAAUAGGGUUGGCAUAACUGCCGACCCUCCG
rnacentral:snRNA from 1 species